AUUUCGAGCCCGUGACGUUCAUGUAUCGCCGCUACGUGGCAGCUUCGUUCCUAUUCGAGAUGGAGGGAGCCUGAACAUCGGUCUGCGAUUACCCAGCUAGCCUCCUUACCAGCCACAUGGCCGUCCUUUCACCAAGUAUCUAAAGAAAUCUUUAUUCGUAAGUGUAAAUCUGUAUACAACAAUGCAGAAGUUUGGGUCAUGCCGGCCAUCCCUUAAACAUGGACAAGUCAAGUCAGGAGAUAGAGCACGUCCCGCCACAAGUCUUGCACCGGCGUCCCUCCAUCUGCGGACUACGAACUUGGAAGAGCCACAUCCGUUUCACCGGAGCCAACUCAUCACACAGCGGCGGUCGAGUCAGACUUGCACCCGCCGAAGCGUCUCGGAGUCGGAACCCCCGGCAUCCUCCUCCUCCUCCUCCUCCUAAUCUGUGUCCAUAUGAUGUCGGCUAAUCUGUGUCCAUAUGAUAUCAGUCUUUCUCUUCAGAAGAGUACGCAGACUGCGGAGGCGUGCGGUCCGGCACAGAUAGGAGCUGGGCCGUAUGAACUGGUUCAUUGGGGGCGUAGGUUAUCAGGAAUUGUUCGGUCUUUGUGUUAAAGGUCCUGCCACUAAAGGGAGAAUCAAACCAGCGUGUCCUAACAACCCCCCAACCUGCGGCAGGAAACUGGCUCUUCUUGCACUGAAAGACUAAGCGUCUCGCUGCACCCUCCGCGGAGGAAAUGGACUCCACCCGCGCCAGCUCUACCCUUAAAACACGUGGGUCCAUCCAGGGAGGGAGGACACACUGCCUCGUUGCAUGCACCUUCCACGGAGGAUUUGGACCCUGCCUCGCACAAGCUCUGCCCUGACAACACGUGUACCAUCCAGGGAGGGAGGACACGCUGCCUUGCAGCACCUUCCACAGAGGAAUUGGACCCUGCCCUGACAACAGCAUUGCCAUCCAGGGAGGGACAGACUGCCUUGCUUCAUCUAACCUAACACAACCAAUACAUGUUGCCGAUCAUUUGUAAUGUUAUUCCUUCUAUCUAAUGUGGAUGUACCCACAUAAGUGUUGGUUAUUUCUUCGUUGUUCUGUUGUUCUAUUGUUAGUACUUAAUAAUAAAUAGAUCAUUGAUAUUGAUGCUAGAUAGAUCAUUGAUAUUGAUGCUAUAGAUGUUCUGGAAUGUACCCACAUAACUAUUGUUAGUACUUAAUAAUA